AAGAUGGCAGGUGGUGAAGAGGAGGUUACCACUGCAGAGGUAACGUUUCAUCCAACAGUUUGCAGGGAAGGCGUCUUUCAAAAGCCCCUUACUGAAGGCUUGAACUACAAAUGCAAAUUCUGUGGCAGACUGGGAGAGUAUGCAUUUGUUGUGGCGCAUAUGCAGACCCACGAGAGGUCAGCUGUUAAACAUGGAGGGUAUAAAAUGUACAAAUGCCACAUUGGAUGUGUCAAAAGCCACCAUUACCACUGCUGCUAUUGUUCAAGGAUUAUAACCCGGCAAAGUUUAUUUUUGAACCAUGUGCGGAAAUGUGCGUUAGCUGACGUGUCAACAGGUCCCAUUACCUCCGCACCUUCCAGCGUCUCUGCACCCUCCAUCGUCCCUCCACCCUCCAUCGUCUCUCCACCCUCCGUCACCUGUGCAUGCUCCGAUGUCCAGUGUUUGACAGUCUGCAAGGCAAGGCAAGGAAA